GACGUAGGGGGCCAGCGUUGUUCGGAAUUACUGGGUGUAAAGGGUUCGUAGGCGGUGUGGCAAGUCGGGAGUGAAAUCUCUGGGCUCAACUCAGAGACUGCUUCCGAAACUGCUGUGCUGGAGUGUGGGAGAGGCGCGUGGAAUUGCAGGUGUAGCGGUGAAAUGCGUAGAUAUCAAGUGGAACACCAGUGGCGAAGGCGAGUCCCUGGACAUCUCCUGACACUGAGGCACGAAAGCUAGGGGAGCAAACAGG
rnacentral:rRNA from 1 species